rnacentral:lncRNA from 13 species
AGAGCGGACCCAGGGCACGGGGAAGAGGAGGGAGAAGGGCGCCGGGCCCGGAGCGCAGCGGCGGCCGGGGCGGGAGAGCGGGCGGGGCCGGCGCUGGGCCCGCCCGCUGGGGGAGGAGCCGCGGUCGCCAUGGGGACGGGCUGCGGCCUGCCGCCUGCCGGACGGGGGAAAGGGCGUGGAGAAACGCGUUGGGCCUCCUGCUACAGAGAGGGACACCUUCCAUUAGACCACGUUGUUCAAAGUGCCAUCCAACCUGACCUUGAACACUUCCAGGGAUGGGGCAUCCACAGCUCCUCUGGGCAACCUGUGCCAGUGCAUCACCAUCCUCACACUGAAGAAUUUCUUCCUGAAGGCAAUGAAGGGAUCUAGAUUACGUCCACAGAUUUAGACUUUCAAGAUUGAGGUGGAAGAGUACCAGACUGAUGAAGAUGCACAAAACUGGCUGUGAACAAUGAGGAGGAUUUUGGCCUGCUUGAUGCACUUUAGCUUUUCAGACUUUCAAAGGUUCAGUUUAUAUAAUAAGGAAGUAGGGCUCUGAUCUAACUUUUGUUCUAAUUAGGAACCAUUUUAAGAUUAGAAGUUCUUGAUAGAAAAAUAAUUAAAAUUUGAAAUUGUGGUUGUUCAGAAACUAAAGAGAGAACUAUGAAAUAUUUUAAAUAUUCACUAAUAGUUAAAUAUUAAAUAUUUGCUCACCAGGAGCAAAAAUGGCAACAAUGUGGAAAAAUGUAGACAAUUUUUGUAAUACUGAAUUACAGUUGGCUUUAAAGAAAUAAUUUAAAAUAUUGAUGCUUGUUUCUUUUCUCAUCAUGUGCAUGCUGGCCAUGAGAAGAUUUGCCACCACACUAGAAAAAAAAGUCAGACAUGAAACUGGCUUUAAAACUGGGCAAGAUAAAUUAAUGAAAAUUGUAUGUGGUUGAUACCAAUAAUGUAGAUUGUCAUCCAUUCUGAUUUCCACAGAAAUACAAGAAAAAUGUAUAGCUAGGCCUUAAUUUCAAUAACUAGGGAAUUUUUAUUUAUUUGGCACGUUUCUGGAGUAUUCUCCAUCACAAUAUGCAUUUACUUCUGACUUACUCUGUGGCUUGGUUCUCUGCUGUUGAACUCUGACAAACCUUUCAGUCACUGCACUCAGAAGGAUAAUAUUGAAGAGGCAGCCCCAAACUAUUAUAAUGCAUACUUUUUUUCCCCUGAAAAUGUUUUGUAGACUUCAACUUGUCUUCCACAAAACCAACCUUGACUGCUUCACCUGUUACAAAAAUACAUAUUAAAAUCAGUACUUUUCCUCUGUAACCUUGAGCUAUGCCUUGUUCUGUCCAUUACUGCACAGGAUAUAAGGUGACAUCCUGAAGUUCUUUCCUUCUAAAUGUGGUCUAUCUGAUUAAAGGAUCAAACCUACCUCUGCCCAGGUGUUGGAUUUUCUUUGUCUGAUCUGCACAACUUAUGGAGGGAAUGUCUUGUUUCUGAAAUAAUGAAAACCAAACAUAGAGCCCCUGAAAUGCUUAUUUUCAGUAUUACUAAAAAUGCUCUUGCCAUGCCCAUGGAGUAGUUUCCUGUGGCCUCAGGUUGCCUGUGGCAAAGGAUCCUCUUUCCAUACAGUUUAAUGUUGCCCUGAAACCUCAUGGCUUAACUGAUCAGUGGGUAAUUGCAUCAUGUCAGUUUACACCACUAGAGGGAUAUGUCCUGUCACUUUAGUGUGUGGAUCCACUAGUAUUUUGCUUAGGAAUGGGAAAGGACUGCUGUUCAAAAAUGGCACAUGUUGAGCUCUUUGUGAUCAGGUAAAUUCAGGGAAUGACACCAGAGGAACAUUUUUAUCUCUCUGUGCUCUGUGCAAACACUUUAUCAUGGCUGGUGCUGCUGGUUGUUUUAUUUCUGUGUAAAAUGAGACCUAAUAAGCAGAUUGUUUAGAACUCGUUAUGGAGACAUAUGUUGGGGAAGACUGUACUUACUCCAUCUCAUCAGUGUAUGUGUGCAAAGGGGAAGAUAAAGCGGAUAUAAAAUCUUGAAGAUGUUUUCACUGCUCGGUUCUCAUAAUGUUAAAAUAAAGAUAUCAGUCAC